GCUUCUAUAGAUCAGUGUUAGAUCACCUCCGCUGCGUGCAUCUGUUUCAAGUAUACAUCGGAGGAGACGUAGGUUCGAGUCCUAGUGGAGGUG